rnacentral:rRNA from 1 species
AUGCACCGGACGACCACCCAGCGCUGGGGGCCGUGCCGCCGCACCGACCAGGCGCCAGGCUCCGGCGCCGUCGCGGUCGACCGCCUCAGCGCCCUCCUGGACGCGCUCCUGCACCACGUCAUGUCGUUCCUCAAGGCGUGGGAGGCGGUGCCCACCUGCGUGCUCGCGCGCCGGUGGCGCCACCUCUGUGAGUCCGCGCCCUGCGUCGACCUCCGCCUGCACUACAUGAGCCGUGACGGUGACCCGCCGCAGGAAUUCCGCGACUUCGUGCACCGCCUUUUCCUCCUCCGCGACGUGUCAGCGCCGGUGGACACGCUCCGCCUGCAGCCCAGCGACGAGGACGCUGGCUUCAACGAGGAGCACGCCAGCAUCUGGAUCAGGGCUGCUCUCAAGCGCAAGGCGCGGCUUAUUCACCUUGCUGGGCAUCACAAGAGAGCCACAUCGUUGGACGGUGUGCCCUUUGUUUCGUGCCACCUCAAGAUCUUGAAGUUGUCCUACGCCAGGCUCGAUGACAGUGUCCUCCGACAGCUUUCUGCUAGUUGCAAAUCCUUGGAAGAACUGGAUCUCAAGGAUUGCUUGCUGACAGGCCCUGGGAUUGUGUCCGCCUCUUUGAAGACCUUAAUCAUGCUUAAGUGCAAGUUCAAUUCGGGCUUCUCCAUUGCAGCUCCCAACCUCGUACUUCUGCGCCUCAUCACACCUUAUGUCCAAGUUCCGUCAUUUACCGACUUUGGGUCAUUGGUCACAGCCACUAUCUUACUUGAUGAUCAUUUCUUGAGCAAUGAAUUUGAACACAUCAGCGAUAAAGAUGACUGUGAUGAAACUACUGAUGACGACGGCAAUGAUGAUAAGAGGAGCUAUAGGAUUCAUGAUGCCUCUUCCUUGAGUGAUGAUGAUGAUGAUUUUGACAAGUUUGGAUAUGGAUAUGGUUUUCCUGAAGAAAGAUAUGGGCACAGUCAUUACAAGGAUAAUUAUAAUUAUGGUAGCGAUAUUGAUAGUGAUGACAAUACCUAUGAAUACGUUGAGAUCGCAAAUGAUGCAAAGUAUGGCUACAAAGGUAAAGGGAAGCUUUCCAGUGAAGAUGGUAACUAUGGAAAAAUCAGUGGUGGAAAUUAUACUAGUAAUAAUAUUCUAGGUGGCCAUCAUAUGCUUGAGAGCCUUUCCACAGCUACGAGUUUGGAGUUGUUAACUGAUGCUGGAGAGGUGGUUCUGACUAGGGAAUUGAGAAGGUGUCCAACUUUUAGCAACCUGAAGACCCUGUCCCUUGGUGAAUGGUGUAUGGCUGCUGAUUUCGAUGCAUUAAUUUUCUUGCUACAGCAUUCACCUAAUAUAAAGAGGCUUUUUCUCCAACUCAAAUUGAACUUUAGCACAAGGAAGGCAUUGGAAACAGGUAUCAAACUACAGGGAAGACCAUUUACUUGCAAUGAACUUAGAAUGGUGAAGAUCAAAUGUUCAAAGGAUGAUGGGAGAGUCCACACCUUGGCACAUAUGUUCAGGGAAAAUGGUAUACCACUAGAGAAUAUUUAUGUGUGUCGGAGCGGGAAUGCUUAUCUCCGUGGCCGGAAGUUUAUGAGGGACCUCGCCAAGCAAGAACUGGAUGAAUGUGGGGACGACUGGAUGUAA